rnacentral:tRNA from 1 species
UGCUGAGUGGCCGAGUUUUAGGCAUUAGGCUUUUAACCUAAAUUACGGCGGAAUAAACGCCCUUAGCAU